rnacentral:tRNA from 1 species
GCCUUCUUAGCUCAGUGGUAGAGCGUUGCACUCGUAGUCACGGACAACAUCUAAUCGACUAUGCAAAGGCCGCUAGUUCAAGUCUGGCAGGAGGCA